UACGUAGGGUGCAAGCGUUGUCCGGAAUUAUUGGGCGUAAAGAGCUCGUAGGCGGUUUGUUGCGUCGGCUGUGAAAUCCCCGAGGCUCAACCUCGGGUCUGCAGUCGAUACGAGCAAACUAGAGUGUUGGACAGGGGAGACUGGAAUUCCUGGUGUAGCGGUGAAAUGCGCAGAGUAUCAGGAGGAACACCGGUGGCGAAGGCGGGUCUCUGGGCAACAACGUGACGCUGGAGGAGCGAAAGCGUGGGGAGCGAACAGG
rnacentral:rRNA from 1 species